UGAGGUGAAGGGCUAUCUGGUAGUACCCACAUGACCUCGAUCAGGCUCUACACAGAGGUUGCCAUAGCAGCAGCUGGAAUGAAACAAAUGGACAGAGUUCCAGGACACAGAUAAAGAUGAGAGGACCCCAAAUGGUGUAAACAAAGUCUGAUAUACAUUGCAUUCCUUGCACCAUGCAUAUCUACCCAUGUCCCAUUAUAUCCAGCUCCAGUACCACAAAACAGCUGUACUAGAAAUCCUAGAGCAAUUGGGAGAAAUUUGAGUAUGAAGGUUCACUCUAUAUUCUCUUAGGUAUCUUCAGAGCACUUGAAGAAACAAAGACUCUUUGUACACUAAGCAUCUUCCUUCCUUCCUUUCCUAAUCUGGAAAGCCCCAGAGGCUAGAACACAGAGAAAAAUCAGUCUCUGGAGGAGUUGCAGUGUUUGGCUCUUGGCAGAGGCCAAGGGAAGCUGGGGUGUCCAGGGAAAAAGCAGGAUGGUACAAUCUUAAGGGGAAAGAGGACUCCAAUGGGAGGUCUUUAAAAGUGACACUACUCACCAUGA